UGGGAACGUGCCCUUCGGUUCGGAAUAACUCAGGGAAACUUGAGCUAAUACCGGAUACGCCCUUUUGGGGAAAGGCUUGCUGCCGAAGGAUCGGCCCGCGUCUGAUUAGCUAGUUGGUGGGGUAAUGGCCCACCAAGGCGACGAUCAGUAGCUGGUCUGAGAGGAUGAUCAGCCACACUGGGACUGAGACACGGCCCAGACUCCUACGGGAGGCAG
rnacentral:rRNA from 1 species